UACAGAGGGUCCAAGCGUUAAUCGGAAUUACUGGGCGUAAAGCGUGCGCAGACGGUUAUCUAAGUCGAGUGUGAAAGCCCCGGGCUCAACCUGGGAAUUGCAUUCGAAACUGAAUAGCUAGGGUGCGGAAGAGGGAAGUGGAAUUUCCGGUGUAGCGGUGAAAUGCGUAGAUAUCGGAAGGAGCAUCAGUGGCGAAAGCGACUUCCUGGUCCAGCACCGACGUUCAGGCACGAAAGCGUGGGGAGCAAACAGG
rnacentral:rRNA from 1 species